UGAGGAAUAUUGGUCAAUGGACGCAAGUCUGAACCAGCCAAGUAGCGUGCAGGAUGACGGCCCUAUGGGUUGUAAACUGCUUUUAUAUGGGGAUAAAGUGGGGAACGUCUUCCCUUUUGCAGGUACCAUAUGAAUAAGGACCGGCUAAUUCCGUUCCAGCAGCCGCGGUAAUACGGAAGGUUCGGGCGUUAUCCGGAUUUAUUGGGUUUAAAGGGAGCGUAGGCCGUUUGGUAAGCGUGUUGUGAAAUGUAGGACCUCCACUUCUAGAGUGCAGCGGGAACUGUCAGACUUGAGUGCGCACAACGUAGGCGGAAUUCAUGGUGUAGCGGGGAAAUGCUUAGAUAUCAUGAAGAACUCCGAUUGCGAAGGCAGCUUACGGGGGCGAAACUGACGCUGAAGCUCGAAGGUGCGGGUAUCGAACAGG
rnacentral:rRNA from 1 species